AGCUUAUGCUCAAAUAAAUUUGUUAGUCUCUAAGGUGCUACAAGGACCCCUCGUUGUUUUUGCUGAUACAGACUAACAGGGCUACCACUCUGAAGCCCAUUUCCCAUCUGUGCACGUAUUUGCCACGUGGGGGCGGUGUUGUGCCAGAGAAAUAAUUCCAGAAACAGUUUUCUUCUCUCUGAAUAACUCUGAACUUUCCUGACCUCAACCCAGCCACCUCUGCCCUUUCAACGCCCCCAUUUCCGACAGCCCAUUCAGAAACCUCUUCCUAUCAGAGAGAGCCGGAUCGAGAGGGAGACAAAAGCUCUUUCCCUUCCUUGCAGAUGCCGGAUACAAAGGGAAAUUAAUUCUUCCUGAAGUUGGCACUUAGCACCACGAUUCUUUUUGUCUCAGACCCGUUGAAUCCAAGGAUGCGUUCGUCUUGGGUCUCAACUGUUUUCAUCGUGUCUGUUCUAAAAAAGAUCUAUGGAGACUCAGUGAGUCAGACUGAAGGGAGCCGAAUCAUUUCCCAAGGGGACCCGGUGCUUCUGAAUUGCAGCUACGAGUUUUCUUUCGGUGCUUUCCCUUUCUGGUACGUGCAGUACCCAAAUGGGCCCCCCGAGCUCUUCCUGCGGGACACGGGAAGGGAAGACGGGGAUGUCGGGAUAGCGAAAGGCUUCAACGCUACACACGAUGAUCAGAAAAAAACCUUCCACCUGUGGAAACCGUCCAGCGAACUGAGCGACUCCGCGACCUAUUACUGCGCCAUGAGCGACACAGUGACCCGGACCAGCAGGGGAGCUGCGCAAAAACCGCGCAGCGUCUGUGCGGAGCCGCGGGGAUGCUCGGGGGCUGGAGUCUCGCGCGACUCGGGAGCAGAAGGGGGGGAAGUCUGCAAAGACGGAACUGGAACAGAAACAACUGUCUCUCUCUCUCUCUCUCUAAUUAGGUCUCUGUGUUUCUUUCUUUGCCCUAAUCCGGAGUUGAACCAUCUCAUGAAUGAUGGCGAAUGUCAUGAAUCACCCAUUAAAGUAAAAUCAGGAAAGACCAGAACACAUCCACCCUUUCCUGAACAACUCCGGUGA